CCUACGGGAGGCAGCAGUGGGGAAUUUUGGACAAUGGGCGCAAGCCUGAUCCAGCAAUGCCGCGUGAGUGAAGAAGGCCUUCGGGUUGUAAAGCUCUUUUGUCAGGGAAGAAACGGUGGGGGCUAAUAUCUCCUGCUAAUGACGGUACCUGAAGAAUAAGCACCGGCUAACUACGUGCCAGCAGCCGCGGUAAUACGUAGGGUGCAAGCGUUAAUCGGAAUUACUGGGCGUAAAGCGUGCGCAGGCGGUUUUGUAAGUUUGUCGUGAAAUCCCCGGGCUCAACCUGGGAAUGGCGAUGAAGACUGCAAGGCUAGAAUCUGGCAGAGGGGGGUAGAAUUCCACGUGUAGCAGUGAAAUGCGUAGAGAUGUGGAGGAACACCGAUGUCGAAGGCAGCCCCCUGGGUCAAGAUUGACGCUCAUGCACGAAAGCGUGGGGAGCAAACAGGAUUAGAUACCCUGGUAGUCCACGCCCUAAACGAUGUCUACUAGUUGUCGGGUUUUAAUUAACUUGGUAACGCAGCUAACGCGUGAAGUAGACCGCCUGGGGAGUACGGUCGCAAGAUUAAAACCUCAAAUGAAUUGACGG
rnacentral:rRNA from 1 species